rnacentral:rRNA from 1 species
CCUACGGGUGGCAGCAGUGAGGAAUAUUGGUCAAUGGACGCAAGUCUGAACCAGCCAUGCCGCGUGCAGGAAGACGGUUCUAUGAAUUGUAAACUGCUUUUGUACGAGGGUAAACGCAGAUACGCGUAUCUGGCUGAGAGUAUCGUACGAAUAAGGAUCGGCUAACUCCGUGCCAGCAGCCGCGGUAAUACGGAGGAUGCGAGCGUUAUCCGGAUUUAUUGGGUUUAAAGGGUGCGUAGGCGGGCGUAUAAGUUAGAGGUGAAAUCCCGAGGCUCAACUUCGGAAUUGCAUCUGAUACUGUUCGGCUAGAGAGUAGGUGCGGUAGGCGGAAUGUAUGGUGUAGCGGUGAAAUGCGUAGAGAU